CUUCCCUGACCCCUUGAGGGUCCUAAAGGGUUGUUCGAGACUAGAACGUUGAUAGGCAGGGUGUGUAAGCGUUGUGAGGCGUUGAGCUAACCUGUACUAAUUGCCCGUGAGGCUUAACCAUACAACACCCAAAGGGUUUUG
rnacentral:rRNA from 1 species